UAGACCAGCCUUUCUCAAACUUCUUUGACCUGAGGCCCAGUCAUGGCAGACUUUGGGGUCAUAAGUGUAGCAGAAGGGAAUGUGGUUCCUGUCUGUAAUGGCCACGUCAACUAGCAGGUAGUUGCUGCUACUUUCACCCUAGUGCUUUUGCCCUCUGCAGUGCAAACUUGCUGAAACUGCGGGUAGUUAACAGCGGGAUGGGGAACUGCUGCCGUGCUGCUGUGUAACCGCUGCUGCUUUGUCUUCACGACGUCGGACCCUUUCUGCCUCCAGUGUUACGGCCUUCUACACAAAGUGCUGCAAUCUGCCCUUGUAGUUUUGUUUCAUUGUAGCGGCGCAUAGACAAGCGGUCGUAACGCCGCAGCUUACACCUAGCGGGCUAGCUGUCCGUCACUCUUCCUAUGUGCGUGUUAUUGUGUGACCAUCAUUGUGUUGUCUCGACUUCAUGUUGUCUUAUGUCACCCACUCCAUUCUGUGUGUUUAGUUAAGGUGCCUAGCCAUCUCACCUCCCCAACUCUGAUUUAUGUUUGAUUUUGUAAUUUGUUUCUAACGUCCUAUUUCUUUUGUUGUUUUGAUUUGCCAUUGGCAGGAGGCCCAUUCACUUGUGCUGUUGAUAACCAGUGUCUUAGCAUUUGUUUUGUUGUUCACUUCUUUAUUUUGUAUAUUUGUUUUGUGUUCCACUGGCAGGAGGCCGUUUCCCCUGUGCUGCAGAUAACCAGUGUCUCAACCUCUGUUACUUUGUAACUCCUUUCUGGUUUGCGGUUAUUCCAAUUUCAUUCAUCAUUGGCAGGAGGCCAUUUCACCUGCGCUGUUGAUAACCAGUGUCUUAGCAUUUUGUUUUGUUAUUCACUUCUUUAUUUUGUAUAUUUGGUCUGUUUGUUUGUGUUGCACUGGCAGGAGGCCAUUUUUCCAGCUGCUGAGAGCCGGUGUCCUACUCUCAGCUAUUGUUUUUCUUUAGUUAAUUGGUUGGUUGACUGUGUGGCCCCACUAAUUGUCCUACCCUGUCCUGUGUCUUUCCUAGGAGCUCAGGCCUGCGGUGGAGGGUCUGCUAUCUUCCUGGUGGUGUUCCCCUUCUGGUGUGCUACUUACAUCACGGGUGUUUCAGACUUGACCUGGCGUGUGUGUGCGCGUGGACACUUUUGCAGUGGUGUGACCUUCUCCUGGACGCCCCCUCACUAGUUAGCCGUUUCUUAUCCCUGGUAAGCCUCAGUUCCUGUUGUCUGUCGCCCCCUUUGUGUGUGUGGUGUGCUUGAGCUACAUCAGCUGUAAUUUUAGACAUUGUUAAUAAAAUUAUUUUUUUACUUGGA